UUGAUAACGUUUUUUUUUUUUUUGUCAGUUCUAACUCCUUCACAGGGACUUGUAUGGUGGAGGGUCCACACGAGGAGACGUCUCAGGAGACGAGUCGAGAGCGUCGGCACUUUCUAUCACUCAGAGGCCGGAGAAAGGAAAAACCAGGAGUAAACGGCAGGCCACAGGGCAGACGGUCGCCACGCAAUCCGGGAACGAGCACAAAUCAAUUUCGGUAUCGCGCUUCCCCAGGGCGUGCCACUUCAUCGGAUCAGGUGAGGAUUAAAGCGCAUGGCAGAUGAAGCGAACGCGUCGAGGUUAAUAUGUUUCUAUUCGGUAUGCUUUAUGAAGUGAUGUUCAAAGAUAGUAGAGGAUGAAAAACUUUAAUAGUGCUGAAAGGCACUCCUGAUUAUGGAGCAGAUUAUAGCUUGAUCAGGGAUUUGACUCGGAUUAUCCGGGAUCUAUUCAAUACCAAUAAUUUGAUGUUUACAAAGAUUUUAACAGUGAUUUUUUUUCUUCUUCUAAUGUUUGCCAGAUAUACUGAUGUUUGAUAAAGGAGAACCUGGGUUGUGUUUCAUGCACCGAACUGUAACACAGGGCCAUCGGACAAGCAAGAUUUUUAAGAUACGUAACACGUUUACCAAGGUCCGGUGUUUCUUGUAUGUUUAUUCAGUUUACUUUACGUACGUUUGAGUUUAAUUAAAAUUUUUGCUGCGGCCAUCGUGAUUUCACAGAGACGCUUCAGUUUUCAAGUGUAUCGUGUUUAAAGUCUUAAACCUAAACGCGACCGCAGCCGUCAGGAUCGUAGUUAAGCGUUCGAGCGCCGUCCGAAAGGCAGUAACGAGAAAUCGACGCCCGUUUCCUCGUGAAAAGUCGGCAGUACCUUCAGCUUCUCCGAGAACUCGUCGUAGGCCCAGUGAGAAGAGGAGCGGUCGGUCGAAUUGGGCCGUGCUUGAACAGCAGCUGAGGAGAGCACUUAGUAACACACGCACACACACGCAUUUAAAGUGCCUUUGGGUUCAGACCUGAUGAAACAAAACGCUUGUUUUCCAUUCGGUGCAUCCUGUGUACUCGUCGCUACGCCUCAGGUGUUCCGAAAAAUACAAAUACACACGCGGAUGUUCUGGAUGUUAAGUAUGAAACAUACCUAUAAGCAGGGAAAGCAGUUUCAUUGCUACAGCAGUGGUAGUUUUUCCAGAAAAAUACGUCCUAGCUCUCUUUGUUUGUUGUUUACUGUUUGCUUUUUUUCCUCUCAUGUGUGUUUGCUUUUUCAGGGUCACGCAGCACGUCGUUUAUGUACUUUCCCAGAUUACGAAACUUUUUACUGGAAACAUGAUUUUGCAACAGUAGUCGCAUGCUAAAGCCUCACGCUGUGAGUGCAGACGUUUUACCUAAUAAUAUCUUGAUGUAUCUUUAAUUUAAGGAUAUCAUUUGUCCUCCCUAGACACAGAACACACCCACGUAUUUUCCUUGCCCAGCAUGCUCAGUGCACGAUUCGUAACUUGGAGAUGAAUCGUUCGCAACCUACGGGCGGAUCUGAGUUCGGAGAAAGCACACCGCGUUCAGCUUGACGGAGUACGUCUGUGACAGCACGUUUUGUGUGUGUGUGCGUGUGUGUGUGUGUGUGUGUGUUUAUGCAUGUGUAGGUGGAUGAAGCUCUUCUAUCUUGGCGCUCAGUCUCACAGUGGCAGGUGGGGAGAAGCUGACUCUGUUGGCAGGUUUUCAUUUUUUUUUCACCUCUCAUUCCCUCUUUCUUUUUUUCUUUUAGUGAAAGAAAUGUACAGCACACUUUUGGGUGUCACCUAAUCAUCCACCAAAGUUCUUCAAAAUAUAUGAUCUAUGCAAAAAUGAUUUCGGCAUGACAGAGCAAAAGGUUCGCUGGGAAUUAUAGUGGAAUGGUUUGGAGUGGUAGCGACGCUUAGAUCAGCCCAGACUGUCAUUAUGCAAAUAGGAAACAUUAGCACUCUUGGUUUAAUCAUUUGAGCACAACAUGUGACUUCAGUAGGUCCAAAAAGGACAGGUUGAGGUUGUUCUCGUUUUGUAAUAUUAUGUUUCAGGCAUUUGCAUGAACACCAAGGAAUCAUCUGUUAUGGAGACAGGAAUUCAAAAUGUCCUCCUUUAUUACGUACAGCAAGAACAAACUGAGCUCGGGGGCACAUUUAUUAGGUAUGCCUAGCUCAUCUCUACCCCCGAGGUCAAGGUCACUGUACCCCAGUGCCCUUGCAUUGCAAGGACAAGAUAUUAUUAAACGAUGUUAUUCAAGUGUCUUUAGUUUCUCUCAACAAGUUUAACCCUGAGGUGAAUGCAUGUUGGGGAAGGACCUAAAGAAGGAAGGGAGGAAAGGAAAGGGAAGAAUGAUGGACGGAAGCAAGGAAAUGAGGAAAUGAAAGAAGGUCGGACAGCAAGGAGGAACGAAAGGAAGGAACAAAAUAAUGAAGGAAGAAAGGAAAGAAAGGAAGACAAAGCAGGAAAGGCAGAUGUAAGGAAAGAAGGGAAGGAAGAAGAAGAAAGGAAAGAAAGAAGGAAACAAUGAAAGACGAGAAGGAAAGGAGGAUAAAGGAAAGGAGCAAGGAAUGAGGAAGGAUGGAAGAAGAAUGAGAGGAAAGAAAGAUCAAAGGAAGAAACAAACGAAGGGGAGAAAGAAGAAGGAAAGAACUGUAGAAGGAUGGGGGAAAGGAGGAAUAAGGAAGGAUGGAAAGAAACAUGAAAGAGGAGGGAGGGAGGGAGGGCGGAAAGAAGGACAGAAACAUAAACGGCAAUAAGGAAGGAAGGACCGAGAAAUGAAAUAAAUAUGGAAGAAAAGGUCAGAAGGGAGGAAGUGAAAAAGGAGAAAAAAGGAUGCAAAGGAAAGAAGAUGGAUGAAAACAUAUCAAGAAAGAACAAAUGAAGGAAGGAAAGAAAUGUGAAAGGGAAGGAAGGAAGGACAGAAACAUGAAAGUAAAUAAGGAAGGAAAAGUAAGGUAAGAAAGGAGGAAGCAAUGAAAGACAAGCGAAGGAAAGGAGGGCAGUGGAAAGAAACAAGGAAUGAGGAAGGAUGGAAGAAGAAUGAGAGGAAAGAAAGAUCAAAGGAACAAACAAAUAAGGAGAAAAAGAAGAAGGAAAGGACUAAAAGGAAGGGAGAAAGGAAUAAGGAAGGAUGGAAAGAAACAUGAAAGAGAAGGGAGGAAAGAAGGACAAACAAACGGCAAUAAGGAAGAACAGAGAAAUGAAAAGAAAUAUGGAAGAAAAGGUAAGAAGGGAGGAAAAAAGAAUGCAAAGGAA